UGGUGGAGUGAUUUGUCUGGUUAAUUCCGUUAACGAACGAGACCUCGACCUGCUAACUAGUGCAGCGCAGCAUUCGUGCUGCGGUCGUUGCGCACUUCUUAGAGGGACUAUCGGUGUGUAGCCGAUGGAAGUUCGAGGCAAUAACA
rnacentral:rRNA from 1 species